rnacentral:misc_RNA from 1 species
UGGGACAAGUUUUUCCAUGUAAGUUCUUAUAUCGUUAUGCUAAAUGUGCGUACUUUUUCUGGAUAUUUUAUACUUGUUCAGUUUCUUUGGGAAUUUUUAUCAAUGUUGAUUUCUAAUCUAUCAAAUAGAACAAACAUAGUUCAGGUUGAAACAUUUAUAAAGCAAUUCCCUUUAUUCAAAUCCUAUUGUCUCUUACUUCAAACAAUUCCCUUGAUUAUUAAUAUUUGAAAAAAAAGAGUUUGCAACAAAGAGCUGUUUAGUUGUUUUGUAAUUCUUAUAACUGAAACAUGUCAACUAUAAUUUUAAAUCAUUUUUUAAUACCCUCUAACUAACAUAUUUAUGGAGGUGUUUUUCUUAAUAGCAACUCUAACAACAAUGCCAAAUAGACCCUUAGAAGUUUUUGUGGCAGGUGGG